UACUCCCAUAACACCCUGAAUGUGCCCCAUCUCGUCUGAUCUCAGAAGCUAAGCAGGGUCAGGCCUGGUUAGUACUUGGAUGGGAGGAC
rnacentral:rRNA from 1 species